rnacentral:rRNA from 1 species
UCCAGACUCCUACGGGAGGCAGCAGUAGGGAAUUUUCGUCAAUGGGCGCAAGCCUGAACGAGCGAUGCCGCGUGAGUGAAGAAGGCCUUCGGGUCGUAAAGCUCUGUUGCGGGGGAAAAAAGGCAGCAUCAGGAAAUGGGUGCUGACUGAUGGUGCCCCGCCAGAAAGUCACGGCUAACUACGUGCCAGCAGCCGCGGUAAUACGUAGGUGGCGAGCGUUAUCCGGAAUGAUUGGGCGUAAAGGGUGCGCAGGCGGUCCUGCAAGUCUGGAGUGAAAGGUGCCGGCUCAACCGGUACAGGCUCUGGAAACUGGCGGGCUAGAGAGCAGGAGAGGGCGGUGGAAC